UGAUUUCUCCUUGCAGUACUGAUAGAUGCUAAAGCGGGUAAUGAAGCUAUAAACCUGCACAUCCACUUUGCCUUAUAUCUAUGGCUAGUUACUUAUGGGGACGAAGUCCACUCCUACAGAGAGUGGUACAGAGACACCAUUUCCCAACAAGAUAACGUAUGGUGAGGCAGACAAAAGCUUUGAAAGCUCCCAAAAAAGAGCAGCAAUUCGGUCAGGCCUCCCCACGUUCCUGUUCGCUGCUUCUUUAUGUAAUGUCUUUGAUAUGUGAACACUGGUAAGUGCUGGUUCUCCAGUUCCAUGUGUUACACACACAAGGGAGAAGAUCUAAACAGCACCUGCAGUGCCAAGAGAGCUUGCUGCUCAAUGGCUGUGCUCAAAAUAUUGUGUUAACCACAGAGAAUAAAUAGUGGAUAGCAGUUGCCCCUUCUGAUCGUUGUUGGAACAGUGCCUUUUCUGUGUUCAACACCCUGCCAAAAUAUUGCAAGGAAAAGAAUUAUGCUCUGCAGUCAUCCAUUUUCUGAGCUCCGAAGGCCUUGGCACAAUAAUUAAGUUAUUUCUGAUAAUUUUGGUCCGCAGCUCCUUUGCACACAGUGCAACAGCAAUGAAUCAUAGAAUCGCGAAGGCUGGAAAAGGCCACUAAGAUCACAGAGUCCAACUAUCAACCCCUCUACCCCAUGCCCAUAACCUCAGUGCCACAAAGGAGCGAUGGCAGAUCAAACAUGGGACUGAAUGCCAUAAAACCCCUGUGUAUUUGUAGGGAGAGCCCACUGCCAGAUCCUCCUCACCAGAAGGGUUUCUGGGAUCAGUGACAUCAUCAUUCCCAACCUCUUCUUUAAAUUUCAUCCUUGGGUCCAUCCACUGAGCCCUGGGAUUAAUCCAAGGGCUGAAUCCUUGAAUGCGUCACUGUUGAGGAUGGGGCUGGGGCCUCCCAAGACUCAGAGCAAUUAAAACUCUUCAGAUUUCACUUCAGACUCAGUGAUGUAUUUUUAUAUGCUGUAAGAUGCUGGGCAUAAUAGAUGAGAAAUGUUGGAGGGAGCUUCUGCAGCCUCUGCUAUCAGUGUGCAGCUCCAACGCUGGGCACAAUUAUGAGUCUAUCGUUUCAAAUUACCUUCUUCCAAGCACCCAUCUAUGAAACCAGAGCCACAUUUCAGACUCCUGAGCCUAUAAAUUCUUCCAUUGUCAAUGUUUGUUUUUAGAUUGAAGACAAGUGUAGUGUUUGGGGUAAUGAAAAAGAUAUAUCUCUGAAUCUGUAAGUCCCUUACGUUGCUUUGAAAUCCUGCUUGCAUGCAAUGCGUGCCUUCGAAAUGCUCGUGCUGCAUCUGUUCAUUGUAAUAAGUUGUGUAAAAAUAUUCCCCAUUAUUUUGCUUUGUGCUGAAGCUGGCAAUAUUAGCUAUUCCACUUGAAUGCUCUGGCUAGAAAACUGUGAAUUUCUUUUCUUCUGUGAUUUUCUCCUCUGUGUUUUUCAUCUCAUCACUGAGAUGGAAAUACUUUACCAGUUAAAUGGAGAAAAGAACAGUUAAGGCAGAUGCUGUUUCAUCAUCUGCUAACACAGAGGUCCUCAGCAUGCAGAAUGGUGGUUUACUGCAACAAAUUAAGUGUACAAACUCUUCAUGUGGAAGAAAUGAUUUCUGAAUUCCCUCUGAAACCCCAUUUCAUCUACAGCAAGAUGAGUUAAUGAAGAAAAUUACGAUUUCAUGUCUGUUAGUGCUGUAGAGAAACUUACUUUGUCUCUCAAAAGCAGUUUUCUAUUCUUUGUUGUUAUUUUAAACUCCUUCAGCCAUGAUUUGGAAACAGUGGCUGUGAUCGUUUCUGUAGCUGAAACUUUCUGUUGUCGUCCUCUUUGCUCAGGCAGAGCAAUGCCCCGUUAUUCAGGAAGCACCUUAAUCUCUACAGGGUAGAAUCAUAGAACCAUAGAAUAUCCCGAGCUGGAAGGGACCCAUGAGGAUCAUCGAGUCCAGCUCCUGGCCCCACACAGGACCAUCCAAAAUGGCAGUGGGUAAUGGGACCAUUGGUUCUUUAUCCAGGUUGGAGGCAAGAAGCAACAGGAUGAGAGGAAUGGCCUCAAGUGCCAGCAUAGGUUCAGGUUGGAUACUGGGGAAAACUUCUCAGGAAGAGUGAUGGUGUACUGGCACAGGGCUGCCCAGGGAGUGGUGGUGGGAUCACCAUCCCUGGAGGUGCUCCAGAACCAUGGAGAUGUGGCACUGAGGGACGUGGUGAUGGGCAUGGUGGGGUGGGCUGAGGUUGGACUUGGUGAUCUUGGAGGUCUUUUCCAGCCUUAAUGAUUCUAUGACAAACACAGCCUAUGAUUUGCUCAGUCCAUCCUGCAAUGUGUCAUGGCUUGAUGGGGUCUUCCGUUUCAGGGCGAGUCAUCCACAUCCAUCCCUUUCUGUGCAGCUCAGCACUUAGUCUUUUUGGCUCUUUGGCAAAGCACUGCUGCUGGGAUUUGGUGUGGGAGAGGCAGAGGGUGUCUUCCCUCGUAACGGUGAGGGUGCGUUUCUCUGGGGCUGUAAUGCUUACAGGAAGCGACGGCGCAGAGUUGGUUUGAUUUAUCCUUAAAGGCAGUAGGUACGUCUCAGUGCUGAGCUUUUGUGCUUUCAGCCACGGAUGCAGACAGGGAUUUUAUUGAAAGGAAGAAGAGAGCUGUCAUGAGAAAAUGUAGAUUUAGAUUCAUCUUAAAAAUAGAAAUUUAAUUUUAUUUCUAGAGUUGUGCCUUGGAAGUUUUCUUUUCAGGAGAGCAUUCUGUACUGCAUUUCUGCUAUAUCCUUUCUAGCUGGGAAACAAUUUGAUUGCUAAAUAGAACACUUCUAGGACUUUUCUUGACCACAACCACAGUUUGAUUUCCUCUCUAUAUUUCAGGCCUUUCUCAAGACCCAAAAUCAUCAUAAACCUUGUUAUGGUGACCCAGCAGUGCACCAAUGUAUGCCAGGAAUGGCUCAUUCCCUUUUCUUGGGCUCGUAAGGCUCAGAAAAAAUGCUUCAAUUCUGGUGCAGAUGAGGGAGAGAGAGUGUCUGCUCUCUUGGUGGUAAAACAAAGUCUUUGAAGAAUACAGCUAUGUCUGGAAAGAAUAGUAACAUUCAAGAAAAAAAGAAAGAAAGAAAAAGAAAUUUCACGAUGUAUUGUACUGUGAAACAGCUUCC
ensembl:lncRNA